GAUCGAAUGGGGAGAUUCAUCGUCAGCGCAUUUUGUAUAUGUAUGAGUUAUGAUGCAGGUUACUCUUGUAGUAUUGCUUGUACAUACUUUGACAUUUAUUUGCAAGAUGUUGUCGGCGUGCACUUCUCCUCUAGUAGGACGUCGCGACCCAUUGGGUGUCGGUUUACGACCCGAGUGGUAGCCUUUAAUGUUUAACAACAUUAAUAUGACCUUUGGUGUUUUCUGACCGACUGCCCGGAGGUACUCGUACGGUAUUUAGCCGCAUUUUUAUGCGUCCAUAUCCGUCGCAAGCGAGGCUAGUUUCUGACUGUACGGACCUGGUGCCGUCGUUGGAGCUAGCCAGGCUGUUGGUUGUUACGGUAUUCUAGGACUGACUAAAAUUAUUACCGGUCGGCGAUGCUACUGCUUUGGGUACUUUCAGGACCCGUCUUGAAACACGGACCAAGGAGUCUAACAUGUGCGCGAGUCAUUGGGAUUUUUUUUAAAUUAAACCUAAAGGCGUAAUGAAAGUAAUAGUCGUCCUUGCGACGCCCUAUGGAGGAUAAGCUGUGUUAAGAUAUAUCUUCGCACUCCCGGGGCGUCUCAUUCUCAUUGCGAGAAGA
rnacentral:rRNA from 1 species